GCCUUAGUGACCGCAGAGAGGCACUUAUGGCUGACCCUGUCAGAAAUAAAAGAAAGAGACAGGGUCUGCCUCCUGGAUGCCCCGCUUCAGCCUUCUGGCCUGUUUGGCGACACAGUCAAUACUGUCGUCGACAGGUUCCAGGAGGCACGCAAACAGGCGGUGGCAUUCCAGAGCUUCCUCUCUCGUCGCUCUCGUGGGGCAUCUGGGCGGGAGAUGCCCACGCCACAUACCAGCUCCUCAUAUCGCGAGGCACAGAAGCAGAGUGUCGCCUCUCGUGCUCCUCCACGUCGGGACUUCCAAGCCCAAAUCAGACCUUUGGGCAAUCAUCGAGGCCAGGAAGUCCUCGACAAAUAGAUACUGACGCCAGGGGCUCAGGAGAACAGAGGGCGACCCCUACUGGGGUAGAUCGGGGUCCACCUCAUUAUACGGUGCCCGUCUCACCUCAGUGCCCUCGAGAGGUCGGUCUGCCAACCCUGCCAAAGUUUCAGGGCGCAGCAGCUUCCGGUGAGCGAUGCUCUCAGUUAUUUCCACCCACGAGCGUAGCGGAGCUGAGAGGCUCGCCGCCCCUUCGGGGGCCUCUUACACCAGAGGUCAGUCUCGAGAGUCUGAUUCCCUUAGUAUAUUAUUUAGCAGCAUGGAAGCUACUGCCAAAUGUAUCUCAAUGGGUCCUGCGCAUGGUAGAAAAAGGCUACUGCAUUCAGUUCGGCUCUCCACUGCCGAGAUUCAACAGUGGAAGAAAUGUGGAAGAAACCUUGGUUCUUGAAUCAGGGCCCGAUGCUGGGAGCUCUUUGUCGCCGUGUAACGCGAGCGACAGACGUGUCCCUCACCGGUUGGGGUGCGGUCAUGAGUGGCCAUCUUGCCCACGGUCUGUGGAGUGGUCGCCAUCUGACAUGGCAUAUCAACUGUCUAGAGAUGCUAGCUGUGUAUCGAGCAUUGAAAUAUUUCCUCCCAGACCUGAGAGGUCACCAUGUGUUGGUGUGCACCCACAACACAUCCGUGGUCUCUUAUAUCAAUCACCAGGGAGGUCUGCGUGUGCGCCCCUUGUACAAGCUGGCACACCAGAUCCUUCUGUGGUCCCAGGACAAACUCCUCUUGCUCUGAGCAGUGUAUAUUCCUGGGAGAUUGAAUGUGGGAGUAGACAUACUGUCGAGACAGGGGCCAAGGCCCGGGGAAUGGAGGCUUCACCCAGAGGUGGUGAAGCAGACAUGGAGAGUGUUUGGCAAAGCCCAGGUGGACCUCUUUGCGACUCAAGAGACAUCGCAAUGUCCCCUCUGGUUCUCUCUAGUUCAUCCAGCUCCUCUGGGUCUGGACGUUAUGGUACAGACCUGGCCGAGGCUUCGUCGGUAUGCCUUUCCCACUAUUGCUCUGCUCCCGGGAGUUCUGGCGAGAGUACGCCGGGACGGGGUCCGUCUUCUAUUAGUAGCCCCAUUCUGGCUGGGCCGAGUAUGGUUCGCAGAUCUGAUCUCUCUCCUCGACGGCUUUCCAAGGGAGAUUCCGAUCAGGACAGAUCUCCUCUCACAGGUGCAGGGCACGAUAAUUCACCCUCGCCCGGAGUUGUGGAAACUGUGGGUGUGGCCCCUGAGGGGGCACAGCUCAUAGCAUCCGGUCUCUCAACCAAGGUUGUUGAGACCAUCCCCCAAUCCAGAGCUCCCUCAACGAGGAACCUGUACGCCAUGAGAUGGAAACUCUUCACCUCAUGGUGCAGAGAUUGCCAGCUUGACCCAGCUAACUGCCCAGUGGGUAUAGUUCUGGAGUUUCUUCAAGCCAGACUCUCUGCGGGGUUAACUCACUCCACCUUGAAGGUUUACGUGGCGGCCAUUGCUGCUUACCAUAUCCCUUUCAAUGAUCAAUCAUUGGGUAGACACCCGCUAGUUACAUAUUUCCUCCGUGGUUCUCUAAGACUUAGGCCUUUUGUACGGUACCGUAUUCCCCCUGGGACUUGGUUGUGGUUAUAGAGGCUCUUUGUAAAGCGCCAUUCGAG
ensembl:lncRNA